AUCCUUUAUCUGCAUUUGCACCUGCAUCUUGUUGCGUUAUCUGGUUCUGGUUCGUAAAAGCCAAAGCACAAGAAGAGCCAAUAGCCGUCGGCAGAUAUGGUGGCAGCAUGGGGUUAUAUGCAUCAAGGUGCAGUUGCAAGUGCAGAUGAAUGCC
rnacentral:pre_miRNA from 1 species